rnacentral:rRNA from 1 species
AACUAACGCUGGCGGCGUGCCUAACACAUGCAAGUCGUACGAGAAAGCCGGCUUCGGCUGGUGAGUAAAGUGGCGCACGGGUGAGUAACGCGUGGAUAAUCUGCCCUUAAGUGUGGAAUAACGUACCGAAAGGUGCGCUAAUACCGCAUAAUGCCUGGCAACACAAGUUGUCCGGCCAAAGAAGGCCUCUGUUUACAAGCUUUCGCUUCAGGAUGAGUCCGCGUACCAUUAGCUUGUUGUGGGGUAAUGGCCUACCAAGGCUGCGAUGGUUAGCUGGUCUGAGAGGAUGAUCAGCCACACUGGAACUGAGACACGGUCCAGACUCCUACGGGAGGCAGCAGUGAGGAAUAUUGCGCAAUGGGGGCAACCCUGAACCAGCCAUCCCGCGUGCAGGAAGAACGGCCCUAUCGGGUUGUAAACUGCUUUUCCAGGGUAGAGAAACUUACGCACGUGUUGCGUGACUGACGGUACCCCGGGAAUAACGCAUCGGCUAACUCCGUGCC